AUUCGUUUUGUUUUUUGUUUGUUUUGAGACAGAGUUUCACUCUUGUCGCCCAGGCUGGAGUGCGAUGGCAUGGUCUCGGCUCACUGCAACCUCCACCUCCCGGGUUCAAGCGAUUUUUUUGCCUCAGCCUCCCCAGUAGCUGGGAUUACAGGCCCCUGCGACCACGCCCGGCUAAUUUUUGUAUUUUUAGUAGAGAUGGGGUUUUACCAUGUUGGCCAAGCUGGUCCCGAACUCCUGACAUCAGUUCAGCUGGGUCUCGGACCCCAUUGCUCAUGACGAGAUCUGCCCAUCUCAGUCUCCCAGAGUGCUGGGAUUACAGGCGUGAGCAGCCGUGCCUGGCUGCAACCUGACAUUCGUUAGUGAAAUGGGGCCCUGGCCUAGCCAUGGGGACGUCCCUUACUUUGUAACCCUGAAACUGCCCAGUGUCCCCCCAAAAUCACACAUUCCGUGGGUACAUGAUCCAUAAAUGGACACUGGGUAAAAGUGGACCAUGGAGCACCCCCUGCUGGCCCCUCCCUCCAGUCUGGCUGGGGUGUGGUGAGAUGUGCUUGUGUGUCCAGGUCCCUGAGCGUGAGCAGCGUCUCCUCAGUGUCCAGUGCUACGUCGAGCAGCAGCUCUGCACACAGCGUGGACUCGGAGGACAUGUACGCAGACCUGGCUAGCCCCGUGUCCUCAGCCAGCUCUCGGUCCCCGGCCCCAGCCCAGACCAGGAAGGAGAAAGGAAAAUCUAAGAAAGAAGACGGUGUUAAAGAGGAAAAGCGGAAAAGGGAUUCGUCCACACAACCACCCAAAUCUGCAAAACCUCCAGCAGGGGGGAAGUCCUCCCAGCAGCCCUCGACACCCCAGCAGGCACCCCCCGGGCAGCCCCAGCAGGGCACAUUUGUGGCCCACAAGGAGAUCAAGUUGACACUGUUGAAUAAGGCGGCUGAUAAAGGAAGCAGGAAGCGCUAUGAACCAUCAGACAAGGACAGGCAGAGCCCUCCUCCAGCCAAGCGGGCCAACACAUCCCCAGACCGAGGUUCUCGGGACCGGAAGUCAGGUGGGAGACUGGGCUCCCCGAAGCCAGAGCGGCAGAGAGGCCAGAACUCCAAAGCCCCUGCAGCCCCGGCUGACAGGAAGCGCCAGCUGUCACCCCAGUCCAAGAGCUCCAGCAAGGUCACGAGCGUGCCCGGCAAAGCCUCGGAUCCCGGCGCCGCCAGCACCAAAUCAGGGAAGGCCAGCACGCUGUCUCGGCGGGAGGAGCUGCUGAAACAGCUGAAGGCCGUGGAGGAUGCUAUUGCACGCAAGCGGGCCAAGAUCCCCGGGAAAGCAUAGGCCGUGCCCCGACCGGACUGGACGCAUUUUUAUACAUAGGGUAAGCGCAGCCAUUUUGGAUUUUGCAGUUAAUGUCUUAUUUUGGCUGUGAUUCUUUUUAAAAAGUAAAAAAGAAAAAAAAGUUUCUCAGCUGGAAAAGAAGCCACACAGGAAAUGACAACGACGCUGAAUCCCAACCUCCCUCCCCAGAGCAGAAGUCCGGCAGGACAGACAGACACAGACAGCGCUAGUGACCAGCAAGGUUCUCAUGUAAAUUACAAGCCCCAGCCGCCAGCCCCGCCUUCUCUUCCUCCUCCUCCGUCUUCUUCCCUGGCCCUGGUCAGGCCUGUGGAGCCCCAGCUCUGGGUCCCUAGCCCGGGUCCAGGCAGCCAGGCUCCCUCCUGAGCUGAGAAACGGAACCUCGCGAACCACUGGUGGCACCUCCUUCUCCUCCCCAGCCCCUGAUCACCCGCCCCCGGAUCAGAAAUAUAUCUAUAUUCUCGACUAAAGUCUCAUCAGGAAAUAUUUCCUGUCUUUUAUUUUAAGCAUCAAAUUGUUUUAGUUGAUUUAAAAAGGAAAAAAUACAGAAAAGACCAAAAAAAGGCCAAGGGUGUUGUUGGGGCGUCUGUCUAAUGUGGAGGGUCUUUUUUUGAGGG
rnacentral:sRNA from 1 species